rnacentral:rRNA from 1 species
GUCUACCACCAUGCCACCCUGAACAAGCCCGAUCCUGUCUGAUCUCGGAAGCAAAGCAGGGUUGGGCCUGGUUAGUAAUUGGGUAGGAGACCACCUAGGAAGACCAGAUGUUGUAGGUA